AUUGAACGCUGGCGGCAGGCUUAACACAUGCAAGUCGAGCGGGGUGAUGGUGCUUGCACUAUCACUUAGCGGCGGACGGGUGAGUAAUGCUUAGGAAUCUGCCUAUUAGUGGGGGACAACAUCUCGAAAGGGAUGCUAAUACCGCAUACGUCCUACGGGAGAAAGCAGGGGAUCACUUGUGACCUUGCGCUAAUAGAUGAGCCUAAGUCGGAUUAACUAGUUGGUGGGGUAAAGGCCUACCAAGGCGACGAUCUGUAGCGGGUCUGAGAGGAUGAUCCGCCACACUGGGACUGAGACACGGCCCAGACUCCUACGGGAGGCAGCAGUGGGGAAUAUUGGACAAUGGGGGGAACCCUGAUCCAGCCAUGCCGCAUGUGUGAAGAAGGCCUUAUGGUUGUAAAGCACUUUAAGCGAGGAGGAGGCUCUUUUGGUUAAUACCCAGAAUGAGUGGACGUUACUCGCAGAAUAAGCACCGGCUAACUCUGUGCCAGCCGCCGCGGUAA
rnacentral:rRNA from 1 species